rfam:Otolemur garnettii contig156815, whole genome shotgun sequence.
AGUGAUUCUCCUGCCUCAGUCUCCCAAAAAUGAAUGCAUUUUAAAAACAUAGUGCUCACCUCCCCUCAGCCACGCCUAGAGUAGAGAGGCCAGGCAUCCUCCCUGUGAGGGAGGCCUUCAAGUAAGGGGCCUCGCCUGGGCUAUCCAAGCCUCACAUUG